rnacentral:rRNA from 1 species
AGUGAACGCUGGCGGUAGGCCUAACACAUGCAAGUCGAACGGCAGCACAGUAAGAGCUUGCUCUUACGGGUGGCGAGUGGCGGACGGGUGAGGAAUACAUCGGAAUCUACUUUUUCGUGGGGGAUAACGUAGGGAAACUUACGCUAAUACCGCAUACGACCUACGGGUGAAAGCAGGGGAUCUUCGGACCUUGCGCGAUUGAAUGAGCCGAUGUCGGAUUAGCUAGUUGGCGGGGUAAAGGCCCACCAAGGCGACGAUCCGUAGCUGGUCUGAGAGGAUGGACACCAAAACAGGAAGUGAAAAAGGGUCAAAAACCCCACGGGAGGCAGGAGGGGGAAAAAUGGGAAAAUGGGGGAAAGCCGGACCAGGCCAGACCGGGGGGGGAAAGAAGGCCUUCGGGUUGGAAAGCCUUUUUGUGGGGAAAAAAAAGAAGGAGGUUAAAACCCCGGUUUUUUGAGGGUACCAAAAAAAUAAACACCGGUUAACUUCGG